rnacentral:rRNA from 1 species
GAUGAACGCUGGCGGUCUGCUUAACACAUGCAAGUCGAACGGUAACAGGUCUUUCGGGAUGCUGACGAGUGGCGCACGGGUGAGUAACGCGUACACAAUCUGCCUUCAUCAGGGGGAAAGUCACUGGAAACGGUGAAUAAUCCCGCAUACAACUCUUAGAUGGCAUCAUCAUAGAGUAAAGUUCCGGCGGAUGAAGAUGAGUGUGCGUCUGAUUAGCUAGAUGGUGAGGUAACGGCUCACCAUGGCGACGAUCAGGUAGGGGGCGUGAGAGCGUGACUCCCCCACAC